rnacentral:misc_RNA from 1 species
AACGCACGAGACCUGCGGACCUGCGGAGGGAUCAUUACAGAGUUCUUUGCAACUCCCAACCCUGUGAACCAUACCAAUUUUUGUUGUUGCUUCUGGCAGGCGGGCCCCCCGGGCCCUCUGCCAGCGGUAACCUGCUCCAACCUUCUUUUUUUCUUUCUUGUUGUCUGAGUACUACAAAAAUCAAUCAAAACUUUCAACAAUGGAUCUCU